GCCGAGGUGGCGGAGCCUGGACUAACGCGCACGCCUGGAGAGCGUGUUCCCCUCUGGGGAGCUUGGGUUCAAAUCCCAACCUCGGCG
rnacentral:tRNA from 1 species